AAACAAUGGUGGAUUGUUUAGACAUGGUAAGUUCAACUUCUGAAGUCAUUAACACUGUUACCAUGGUAUCUGGCACAGAAGCUGAUGACAUCAUCACAAUUGAUCCAACUCUGAAGGAUGAUUUGAAUGAUGAAACAAUUGUGGAUACAGAGACAGGACUAGCCAUUACCUCUAUGUCCCCUAGUCUGGCUAACCCCACCAUUCAGGGCCUGCUGUCCUCUCCAGCAGGGCUUACAUUGCCCAGUGGACAGCUCCUGACAACUACAGAUGGCAUACAGAUCAUUGCUGUCAAUGGAACAAAUGACAUCACCAGGGAGGGUCAAAUAUGGCAGGUGGUCCACCCAGAUAUGGCCACAAUCAUUGCUGUAAAUGCUGAUCAGACAUUUGAAAUUGAACCCAAAGAGGAGGAUAAACUAGGAGAUACUGACAUGCAGGAUACAGAGAGCUGUCGCUCAGGGACUGGAUCUGUCGAUGAAGGGAUGCCAGAUAACGCUGAUGUUCUCCCUCCAGAUACUCCAUUGUGGGCUCAGAGGAUGAACAAGUGUCAGAAAAUAGGUGACUACUACAGAGGGUAUGUUGAUUCUGAAGUUGACCUUGAUCUUCUUUUGACCUACCACAAGCAGCAGACCCAGAGUUUCUGGGGCACCCGUCAGUCCCCCUGCCCUGCCAAACCCUCCACCAGACUAAUGUGGAGGUCACAGUAUGUCCCAUUUGAUGGAGUUCCUUUUAUGAAUUUAGGGAGUAGGGCAGUGGUCAUGGAGUGCCAGUUUGGGCCGAGGCGACGAGGAAAUGCCAAAAACACAUCUACAGAGUACAAACAAACGUGUCCUGCAAGAAUAUAUAUCAAAAAGGUCAAGAAGUUUCCAGAGUUUGCUGUAGAUUUUAAUCAAGAUAAGAAAUCCCUCAAAGCUGCAAUGGACAAUGCAUUUCAUCAGCUGAAGGUUUUGGGAACCAAUGAUAUUGGCAAAGAAUUGUAUUAUGUCCAGUUACCUAUAGAGAAAGCCCAUGAAUUUCAUGGAGAGCUGCAACUGAACACAGCUGAAGCCCCCACUACUUCACUCCCAGACCCAGAGUCCACCAAAGAGAGGCUGGACCCCCGAGUCCGACAAAAAAUCCGAGAGCUAGUAGCAGCAGGAGAAACCAGUGUGUAUGCUGUCAGAAAACAGCUAAGAACCUAUGUGUCCAAAGUGUUGUACCUGGGUACAGAGGUACCAGAGAGACAUGACUUGACCCUGUUUCCUACAGUCAACGACUUAAAGAAUCAGAUCCAUCAGGCAAUGGUAGACGUGGAGAAUGGGACUCUUGCCGUUACCACUCCUCAGGUUAAUGUGGAGAUCGUUGGUCAGUCCUCAGCAAGCCAGACUACAGAGUUCUCUUCUGUAGUGGAUGGUUCCGUGUGGUCAUCUGAUGGGGUGGAGCCUGUCCCUGAGACGGUCACUGUUACCCUAACUCAAAAACCAGGAGAUGAUGGACAUCAUGUGAUAUCCCGCAUUGAGACACACUUGAGUGAUGGUUCUACACGGAUUAGCACACAUCUAACUCCAGAGACAGCCCAGCUAUUGUCUCGACUUCAUCCCAACAUGUUCCCUGCAGGAUGUCUUUUACCUUCUAGUGAUCCAAAUGAAUCUCAGCAGUCCCUGAUAGAGUCUAAAACAGACGACUUCCCCUUGAAGGAGGAUUCUUCUGACACUCUGUGUAUCAGUGCAAUCCCGCCCUCCUCCACUCAGAGCCCCCCAAUGUUGGACAGUGCGGAGACACAUGACAUAGAAUCUCUGGCUGUGAUCGUUAACAGUGACGAGUGUGGUAGUCAGACAAUGAUGGUGUCUAUAGACAAUGGUAACCUUGACAACGCAUCAGAUCCCCCAUCCAUUGUCCAUCACGCAGAGGAAGAAGAUACCUCUAUAGAAAACCAGCUUAACUGUGUUGGUGUUUCCAUGGCAGCAGACUCAGAAAUCAUUCUCAGUGAUACACCUGUGUCAGAAUUUCAACCUAUUACAGAUUCCUAGUGCAAUAUUUUUAUUUAUUUAUUUAUUUGUUAUGUUACUGAGCUUUUCAUUUUGAUAGAUGGAUUUAUUUAUAUAUGUUGAACUUUGCCUUUUAGUUUGUUUUUGGGAUCUCUUGUGAGAGGCAGAGAUAUGGUCAGUAGUGUGAAUCAGUCCAACUAUUUUUUUUUAAUUUUCUCUCUAAACAUACCAAUUUGUCAGCUUGAAACAUUUUCACAAAUUCAGUUAAUGUUGAUCUAGAUAAUCAAUUCUUAGCUUGUUUUGCAUAUCUUUAUGACCAGAGAGUUCGAAAAAUUCAAAUAAUGAUAUUUUUGUAUAAGGUACAAGACUGAUUUUGAAGUUUAAUGUCUCAAGUACAUGUGCAUCAGAAAUUUACACUUUAACAGUAUCAUUGAAAACUACCAGGUAUGCAUUUAUGAUUUCUUGAUAAUUUUGACAGAACUUGCAAUAUGCAAGUUUCGAGAUUGUAACUCUCCAACGAUAGAGGUGCAAAAAGUAUCCAUAUCAGCAUGCAGUGGGACAGGUUGUUGAACACAAACUUAUUCCUUAAAUGAACAAUGGCUUGGGCUUUUAAAAUUCAUUCACUCCUCCAUGGCACAUGAUCCCACCUCUGAUGUUUGCUCUGCUCCAAAAUUUGUAUUAUUUAAUGGACUUUUGAGCUUGAAUACUGUUCGUUAUCUCCAUACAUUUCAUUCAAUUUUGUAGAAAGAUGAUAAUGUCAAGCAUUGAUGAUUUUGAUUAAUUUUAUUGAGCUCUACUAUAGAUAAUUGAAAUCAUUUUUUGUGAAAGAGAUGCUUCCCUGGUUGUACAAACCUUUUAUAAAAAGAGUGCUCUUAGAAAUUACACGUACAGUAUAUAAUGAGGGAAAGAAUUGGUGUGUCAUUUGGGAUGCCAAUGUGCAAUGAACAGAUGCGUGUGUAUUUAUUAGAGAUCCAUUUCUUUUCCCUCGUGUGAUAAGUCUUAUCCACUGACAUUUUCUUUUGUUCCAUUUUUUUUGUAGAAAAAAAUUGAUGCUUUUACUUAAAUUUGAUAAUUUUCGAGUUGAAAAAUGCAUCCCAAUAAUCAGCUAUGACAGACCACAUAUCAAUAAUGAUAUCAUAAUGUCCCACCUGCCUGUUUAGGUGGAAACAAAACUAACCUCUAUAAGGAAAGAGGGCACCAAGGGAGAUAAUCUUGAAAAUUGUGCAUUGUUAAUUCCCAUGAACAUGACCUCCAUUAAUUUGGUCAUCACUAAAUUCCCAAAUAGGAUAUCUAUCAGUGUUUAUACUGAUCUACACGGGGCACAGGGCUGUGAACUGUGUAGCCAUUUCUGAUAGCCAUGUUAUUUUAUUUUGGCAAACAAUCAGCAAACUGUAUGUUUCUACUUAUUUCAUACAGCUCUAUUCUUUUUUAUAUUUGGGCAGCAAACCAGUGCAUUUUAUAAGAUGAUAUCUUAGAGAGAAAUAAAGACUUUUUAUGGAUUCUAGGUUUAAUUCACAGCUGUCUCCUUGUACUUUCCUUCAUGUAAACUUCACUUUUAAGUAGAUUUACUCUGCUGUUUGUUCCAAAUAAUUGUAUUUCAUGUGAACCAUUAAAGUCAUUUGACGUACUC